rnacentral:lncRNA from 1 species
AAAUUUAUAUUUCUAAAAGAAUCAUUUACAUUUAAGGAUCGAAUAUCAAAGUAUAUAUUGAAUGAAUAAAUAUAUUUUAAGAAUAAUCAAAGUCGCGCGCAUCGAUUUAAAUAUGCAUCGUGUUUCUAUGCACGAAACAAGUGGCUGCCGGUAGAAAACCGGCUCAGUACCAAGUGGUUGCUACGGCGCAUUCUACCGCGCCGGUGUAUUGGCGCGGCGCUGCGAUCGAGACGCCAGUACACCGCGCGCCGUCGACUCGUUUACAUGUUGGUUUUGUUACGUGCGCUUAUCAUUCGUUAUCAACGUGUUCCUCUUCACUUUUCUGCGCAUCCCUCCACGCGCAUUUUGUUUACCAGUCAUCCUAAAAAUCCUCGAUGCGGUAUGUCACUUUUUAUCCAAUAUUUUUUACUAUUUUUCGUAAACGUCCGCCGACGCACGAAUCAAACGGUACCGGCUCACGGUAAACCGGGAUUAAAAAAUUUUUUCCCCUAUAUUUUAAACUCGAAUCGAAUGGUGAUCGAAUCUUGACAACGACGCGUCCUUUUCGAACGAGUAAAACGAAUUCUUUUUCCCCUCUUUUUCGUUCGAUUUGUUUGAUUGUUAGUAGAGAUAUCGUUGAAAUGUUUAUAUAUGUGAUUCGAAACGAUAUUUCGCAGUUACGUGUCGCGUAUCGAUUUAUCAUCGCGCCUCGUUGCGUGUGUUUCGAAAUAACCUUUUAUAUUUAUUCUCUAGCGUUGUUCCCUUUCACGUAAAAAUCGUAUUGCUUUUUUCCUGCUUAAAUUACACCAUCCGACGCUUCGUUUCGACUCUGAUAUUGCAUAAUUAAUGAAUCAAUCGAUAGUUACUAGGUCGUUUGUAUAAACGUUGGUAGAUAUAUAUUAUAUCAAACAUAUAUUCCUUAAAUUCGUUGCCAUUGCCAAUAUCGAUCGAUUCAUUUCGUCAUACGUAAUUUUCCUACACGAGAGUGAAACGAAAAACGCGUUUCGUUAGUUUACUUCGUUUAUUUACGUCGUCGAAGAAUCGUAAAAUUCGAAGAAUCGUAGUUAACGAAAGAAAUUCGGUAGUAGGAAGUAAAUAUAAAUACGAUUACUAAUCGACUCGACUUUGUUUUCGUGAGAAAGAGAGUCAAUUUCGCGUUACGUAGAAUGAUGUCCAAGAUCGACUAUCCUUGAACAAUCAAAAAUAUAUUCGCAAGUCCAUCGAGAGUAGGAGUAGGUCGAUUCUCGUGGACCUGCAUUCGUAAACCUGUUCACCUUGUGUCCUCGCUCUCGGAUUAAACGCAUUCGUGGCUCGUCUUUCGUAUCUUCCGCUUAUUGUUAACUAACGAUUCUUUGAACGUUACUCAUAUUGCGUAGCGGAAAUAAAAAUCAACAAAGAAAGUGUCCACAGAUAAUCUUCUAUUCCUUGCUCCUUCGACAUUCUUCCAAGUACAUGAAUCAUCCAUAACUAUAGAUAAUUUAAUUCUCGUAUCAUUUCAUUUUUAAAUGAAAUGAUAAUUCUUUGGUUUGAUAUCGAAUCAAAUGAUAUCGAAUCAAAUGAUUAUUAUUCGAGUCUCAAAUUUUUUCGUUUAUUUUUAUAUAAAUUUUGAAUUGAAAUUCGAAUUUAGAUCUUUCGAAAACGAUGCUUUCCUUUUUAAUUAAACGAAUUCGUUUCAAUGGUACUUGAAUAUUCCAAAAUUCUAAAAAAUAUUUCAAAUUCUACGAUUGUCUCGAGAAAUUUUGAAAUUCCUCUUUAGAAAUUCCAUCGUAUUAAUUGGAAGUUUAAUCAUUUUCGACCGGUAUUGUCUAACGAUCGAUUUGCGGUUCAUUCGGCUCUUCUUGGUUAACGUCGACCUCGGUUUUCCGUAUUGACCGUUCCAUCACAUCGUGAACAUCAGAAAUCUUUUUGGUCCCAGCAAUUCCAUUAGCUUGAAACAGACGAGAAACGGUAAAAACAAUCGGGAAAUAUCGAACAUUUUUUUGUGUAUUAAAGCACUUGCAAGAUCAUGUUCUCAUCUUUACCGUUUUAUUCCUCUUCGAAAAUAUAUUGAAGUUAUAAAAUCAAUUAUUAUAUAAAAGAAGUUUAAUUAUCUUUAAGUUUUUUAUGGGGGUAUCAUAAAAUUUCAUAAAGAUUUCGUAGGCAAAUUUUGUUCUUUUUUUAAUAAA